rnacentral:lncRNA from 1 species
AGCCUUACCACUCAUCAAACUUGUGGAUGAGCCAUGGCUGAAGUCAGAGGCUGGUACUUUUUAACCCCCUAGCAGCAGCUUGCUGGUCCCCAGAGCAGCCUCCAAAGAUGCAGGCCUGUGAAUGGAGCCUUCACAAGGCCGCUCUCAAGAAGAGAACUCACAGUAUGGUGGAACCACGUGUUCUUCUAAGGAAGAAUUUUUUGUUUUCAUUUCAAACAACUCUGGUUGGUGACGAGUGGCCAGAAGAGGUGCUCUGUUUUCCAUCCUAACACCUAUUUGCAGGUGGGGGCAGGGAGGACUCCAACCUGAAAUGUUAUUUCAAACCCUUCCCUGGACUUACACCUCCAUUUCCAGGCAGCGUCACAUAGCAAAGCACGAUCCACAGCGCGUCCCGUUGCUUUGUAGUCUGAGCACCUUUCAAAGCAGGAAGAUGAGUCUGUUUCAGCUCUUCCCCUUCUGAUCUCAUACAUAAAAUAUCACUGCCUGAUGUGGUGCUUAAGUAAAUAGCUUCGCUGGGCACUGGCAGUCAUAGCCCUGAAAGGCCAGCUUGCCAGGGACAGCAAGCUCAGGACACUCCUCCCUGCCCUCCACAGACAGAGGUGAAACUGGUAUUUUUCAAAUGUUCCCUGCCUACCUUCUGCCAUC